rnacentral:rRNA from 1 species
UUGAUCCUGGCUCAGGACGAACGCUGGCGGCGUGCCUAAUACAUGCAAGUCGAGCGAACAGAAGAGGUGCUUGCACCUCGGACGUUAGCGGCGGAUGGGUGAGUAACACGUGGGCAACCUGCCCUACAGUUGGGGAUAACUCCGGGAAACCGGGGCUAAUACCGAAUGACUAACUGAACCUCAUGGUUCGGUUAUAAAAGAUGGCUUCGGCUAUCGCUGUAGGAUGGGCCCGCGGCGCAUUAGCUAGUUGGUGGGAUAAUGGCCUACCAAGGCGACGAUGCGUAGCCGACCUGAGAGGGUGAUCGGCCACACUGGGACUGAGACACGGCCCAGACUCCUACGGGAGGCAGCAGUAGGGAAUCUUCCACAAUGGACGAAAGUCUGAUGGAGCAACGCCGCGUGAGUGAUGAAGGUUUUCGGAUCGUAAAACUCUGUUGCGAGGGAAGAACAAGUACGAGAGUAACUGCUCGUACCUUGACGGUACCUCGUUAGAAAGCCACGGCUAACUACGUGCCAGCAGCCGCGGUAAUACGUAGGUGGCAAGCGUUGUC